GUCCCCGUAGCUCAGGUGGAUAGAGCACGAGAUUCCUAAUCUCGGGGCCGCAGGUUCGAAUCCUGCCGGGGACACCA
rnacentral:tRNA from 1 species